rnacentral:tRNA from 1 species
CGGGGUGUAGCGCAGUGGUAGCGCGCAUCGUUCGGGACGAUGAGGCCGGCGGUUCAAAUCCGCCCACCCCGACCA